rnacentral:tRNA from 1 species
GGAUGGAUAUCUGAGUGGUUGAAAGAGUCAGUCUUAAAAAAUAAAGUAUUUUUUGAAAUAUUGGGGGUUCGAAUCCCUCUCCAUCCA